rnacentral:rRNA from 1 species
UACGGGGGGGGCAAGCGUUGUUCGGAAUUACUGGGCGUAAAGGGCUCGUGGGCGGCCAACUAAGUCAGACGUGAAAUCCCCAGGCUCAACCUGGGAACUGCGUCUGAUACUGGAUGGCUUGAAUUCGGGAGAGGGAUGCAGAAUUCCAGGUGUAGCGGUGAAAUGCGUAGAUAUCUGGAGGAACACCGAUGGCGAAGGCAGCCCCCUGGGCUAACACUGACGCUCAUGCACGAAAGCGUGGGGAGCAAACAGG